GUUACUGCCUUUUCUUUGUAGCUGUUAAUCUGUUAUGGAGAAAGUUAGAAUUGAAAUGUUUCUGAUUUCUAUAAAAUGAAAGAGGAUAUAAAGCAUCUAUUACUUUGAUGGAACGUGGAAGCAUAUGUGAUUGUAAUAAGUCAUUGAACAUAGUUUUUAAAAUGCAGAUACUGUUAUUCUGAUCAUGAAUUCAGCUAAAAGUAUGCUUAGAUUUCACUUCUAUUGAUGUAGGGCUUGGGUUGA
rnacentral:misc_RNA from 1 species